ACGCUCGACACCUACGGAGGCAGCAGUGGGGAAUAUUGCACAAUGGGGGAAACCCUGAUGCAGCGACGCCGCGUGAAGGAAGAAGUAUUUCGGUAUGUAAACUUCUAUCAGCAGGGAAGAAACUGACGGUACCUGACUAAGAAGCACCGGCUAAAUACGUGCCAGCAGCCGCGGUAAUCUGAGCGGGNUGGCAAGGC
rnacentral:rRNA from 1 species